GUCUGGUAUAGAGUAUAUAGUAUGUACUGUGUACUCAGAAAUAUUUUUUGAACACAAUCAGAUGACUUGUAGAAAGAACAUUCCAAUUAUGCUAUGCUUCUUACCUUUAACAAGCUUCCCAUUAAAAAAAAAACUUAAAAACAAGACAAAACGUAACUAUGCUUCAGGAGUUUGUCUUCAAACCCAGCAUUACUGAGUGAGCUGGGCAAGCUGUCUGGGUGUCUCUGUCACUGGGAGAGCUCUCCUUAAGAGCCUUGGUUCAGCUCUCAGAUUCUUCAAUUCUGUGUUAAUAGUGUGCAGUAAAGGUAGAGCACAUUUUUUGGACACUUAGGGUUUCCCUCGUUGUUAUCUUUUUUCCUCUUAGCCAAUGAGAAUAUGUCAUCAUGUUGCUUGGACUUGGAGGUUCUUUCCUAGUUGUGGGGAAUUUUUCAAGCUGGCUAUAAUGACAGGGGCUCAGAAAUCCACAGAGAGGUGUGUGUGUGUGUGUGAUUUUUAAUUGUAGUAAAAUUCAACAUAAAAUUUACGAUCUUAACCAUUUUUAAGUAUACAGUUCAUUGGCAUUAAAUACAGUCACAUUACUGGAGAGACAUCACCACUAUCCAUCUCCAGAACUUUCAUUUUGCAACACUGAAACUCUGUGCCUGUUAAACACUAACUUCCCAUCCCCUUCUCCCCAGCCCCUAGCAAGCACCAUUCUGCUUUGUGCCUUUAUGAAUCUGACUACAUGCCUUAUGUAUGUGAACUCACACAGUAUUUGUCUUAUUGUGACUGGCUUAUUUCCCUCAACAAUAAUGUGUGUACUCAAAGUUCUUCCAUGCUGUAGCAUGUAUCAGAAUUUCCUUCCUUUUAAAGGCUGAAUGAUACUCCAUUGUUUGUGUAAACCACAUUUUGUUUAUUCAUUCAUCUGUUGGUGGACACUUGGCUUCCUUCCACCUUUUAGCUAUUACGAAUAAAGCUACUAUAAACACAGGUACAUAAAUACCCAGUAGAGACCCUGCUUUCAGUUACUUCAGAUCUCAUUAUGUAUUCAGUCUCCUCAUUUGAUGCUUUGUUUUCAUGGACUCCUGCCUUCCUCUUGGCCAUUUACUACCCGUCCCCUACCAACUGCCAUUUUCCUAAUACUGUACUGCUGUCAAGAUCCAUAUGCUUCAGUAUGACCCUCACAGAACUGCCACAUGGAGAAAAGAGAUUGAUAACUAAGAAAUACGAUUUGUUCUCACUUCCUACAUACCAAGCAAUUCCUGCUGUUUUGUGAAGGCAUACCAGUGGUUCCUAAAAAAUAAAAAUAAAAUAAACCCUUUGUAAUAGAGCAGAUUUACUGGCUGUGACAUUCUGUAUUUUGAAAUAUAACUGUUCAUAGUAGCAUCUUUUGAUGUGUCGGUCCUAUAACUGAUACUAAAUUUUUUUCUCAUAAAAAAAUAUGUGACAUUGUAGAAAGCUUGUAAGAUACAGAAAAAAUAGUACAUACUAUUGCACUAUGUUUAGGCAACCACUGUUAACAUCUUAAUGCAUAUUCUCCUGGUCUUAAUGUGAAUGUUUGCAUAUUUAAGAUAACACUGUGUUGCAUUACUUUUUAUACGUAAUAAAGUACAAGCAUUCUUUUGUUUAAAUAUUUUAAUUAUAUGACUGCGAAAUAUAGGGUAUUAAUUAGCUUAAAUAAUAUUUUGAAAUUACAAAAAUAAUGUUUCUUACAGAAAAUGUCAAAUAUCUCAGUAUUGUAAAGAAGUAACAAAGUCUAUAAAUUCCCUGUGUGCUCCUUCUUAAGCUUUUUCAAUGUAUUCUUUUCAUUCUCUUUUAGAGAUCAGCAUCUCCACCCACCCCUUUCACCUUUGUCUGUCCCUCCCUCACCCUCCCCUUCCUAAUUUUCUUUCUUUCCUCACAGCAUUGAUACCAUAUUUAUAAACAAUUUUAUAUCCAGCAUUUUCACCUAACGCAGUAUUUUGUGAUUUCCAACGUCAUGAAGUAUUCUACAAAAAAUGCUAUUUAAACAUGUGAAUUUACUAUAAUUUAUUUAGUCACAUGCUCCCCUCUACUUUUGGAAGUUUUGUUCCCAGUUUCACGUUGUUGUAAAUAUGUCCUUGUACCGUCUUCCUGUGAUAUCUAUGGUUGUUUCUUUAGGAGAUAUGUAAAGACAUAUUAUGAGUCAAGACAGUUUUAAGGCUUAUAAAAAGAUACUGAUAUCCUGAAAUGCUUGUCUCACUUCCCUUCACUAGGUUUACUCUUUUUGUUGUCCAUCUUUGUGAAUUUGUUUAAAAAAAUCUUGGUGUUUGCUAGUGAAAUUGAACACUUUCUCAUGUUGGCCUUUUGUGUUUUGGGGUGAAUAAUUUGUUAAUAUCUCUUACCUUAUACAGUUAUAAAUAAUAUAAAAUAUACAAAAAUAUAAGACAAAAUAAAGUAUCCUGUUUCCAGUAUUUCAUUUUUUUUUUACCUACCUUUCAGUUUUGUCUGCUGCUUCUGAAUGGACACGGCUUUUGCAUUUUAAUGUAGUCAGAAUGAACCAGAUUGCCUUGCCUCUUGUUGCUUUUUUUAUUGCUUUCAUAAAGCUAAAACUUCUUUUCUACCCCAAAUUAAGAAAUACUUUCUCCUACUUGUUUUCUCUUUUUCCUUUUACAGAAUUAAUUUUGGUGAAGGUUACAAAGGAGGAGCUAAUUUUAUGUUUUCUAGACUAUUAUCUUGAUCUCAUGCUUGUCCAGAAUCCCAAUAAAGCUGUGAUGUGAACCAAAACAAGUGUUUUCCCUUACUUUAGUGCCUUGAUUUUCCCACUGGAAAAAAUGAGGAGGCUGUGAUACUCUUGUGGAAGGGAGGCGCUGGGAAGAUGAACUGAUACCAUCUCAAGCUUUACCCCUCAGCCCAGAACUUGGCCUGUCUCUUCCCAGCUCAGAAAGUAUGUUCAGCCCAGGUAGGUUGGGGGACAGAGACAGCAGCAGUAAUAAAGGUCAGAGGAACUAUAAGGGUAGGGACUAGGUGGUCGAGUGAGUCCCUCCUGUCUUGACCCUAUUUCAGUUAUCCAUAACUAAGAUAAGGGAUGAGGGCUCAGUUGAUGGGAGACUUGCUUAAACCUCAGGUUGUAGAUGUUAGGCAGCACAUACUGAGAAAGAGCCCUAUGCUAGGAAAGUCAGAAAUUUAGGGCCCCAUUUUAGCUGUCAGUGAACUAUCUGUAACAUAGGAAAGUCUCUUUAAUUCUCUAAUUUCCUGAUUUAUCAAAUAAGAGAGUUGAGAUAUGUACUUUCUGAGAUUUAGUUUCAAUUAUGGUCUAGGCAAGUGACAGACUAGGUUGUGCUGUGAAUCUGUUGGGGACAUUUCUUGGUUACUAGUUCAUCUUUUGUUAAUUGUCAACCAGUAUGAUGCCAAGAUUAAUAAGACGACCACAAUGUUAUUUAAUGCUCUACCUUGGAGAAUUUGUGCUUCUUACCUUUCCUAACUGUUCUAGCUUCCCUUAUGAAAGACUUCUGUCCUGCCUAAUAAUUUCUUUCAUUCUUUUGCCUCACUAACUCUUAUGUUUAAGAGCUAGUAAUAAAAAAUACCCAGAACUAAUUUUUGUCUGCCAUGUGUCCAGAGCUGUGGUAUAAAUUUUUUAAAAGGCUAAAAUAAAAAUAUGAAAACCAUUUUGAACAUACAAAACAUUAAAGUGACAAAAGUAAUAACUAUAAGACACAAAUACCUGUUCUUAGCCAUUUUAAUUGUUUAUUACUGGUAUUAAUAAAUUAUUUCUUACCAUUAAUAACAGAAAUCACAUUGGAAAACAAAACAGCCACAGGCCAAACCUUUUGAAUUUCAAAAUAUGUUGAUAUUAACAUACUGUAUUUUAGAAAAGCAGCACAGAAAAUGUUUCAAGUAGUUUUUAUGUAAUAAAGUCAUAUGUCAAUCUCUUAUACUUACUAAAGUGUUUUAACAGUCGUUCCCUUUUUGAUUUCCAGAGUGGGUGAGCAUGGUCUGAUAUCUGUGGCAUAACUUACAUAUCACACAAGGAUAAAUCUGAUACUAUUUAAUAAUGGCCCUGUUACAAGCUUUGAUAUCUCAGAUGAAAAUUUCUAUAGCAUUGACAUUGUCCUCUUGACGUAUUUGCUGUAAUAAGAUACAGGGACCACUUGAAAUCUAUAGAACUUAUGUGGAGUCCAGAUAAAUCUUUGUGCUCCAGGAACACAGUAUUAUAUAUUAAAUAAAAUAUACAUAUUUAUACGUAGCUGCAAUCGAUGUUUACUUUGAUUACAAUUGAUUACACAUAGCACCUGAUCUUCAAAUAACAUUGAAAAAUAGCCUUUAAAAAUAAACCUUGAAUGGAUACGAUCUUCAGGGAAACAGUUCCUUUAGUAAUUAAACUUUCAUUUCUCACUGUGCAUUGCUUUGAUCUCAUAACUUUUUUAUAAUGUCCUGAGGGCUUAUUUUCAAGGCUUCCCAACAAAUUAUUGUUUCUCAAAAGCCAUGGUAUUUUCAUGGCUUGAUGAAUUUGAAAGGCAGUAUUUUUAAACCGCUGGUAAGUUUUUCUUAGUAUGCUGGUCUACUGCAUAAUUUCCUUUGCUCUGGGUCACAUGAUUCCUACUGUGCAUAACACACGCACUUAAAAUUUUCACUUCCUGAUUGAGCCAUCAGGAUUACGUAAAGUGUAAAUCAGUCUAAAUACUUAAGAGCAGGAAUUUUAAGAGAAAAAUGUAUUUUCUUUUUCUGUUUCAUUAUUGAUGCCUAAAACUUGGAGUGUGUUCUCACCUAUUUGUACUUGGAAAUGAAAGCCUGUUAGGGAUUUUUUUGUCCCUUCCCUUUCAGAUUGAAUCACACUUUGCUUUCAUUAUAAAAAUAAUGUACCAACUAAACAGACCGUGGGAGUGGUAUAGUUGCAGGACUGAAAUCAAAAUGGUUCCGAUGACUGAGAGAGCUGUUCAUUUACUUACUACUCUUUUCAUGACCUGAACGAAGAGUACAGCAUCUCUCAAAAGGUAACAACUUGAUAUCUCAGAAUUGUAAAUGGCCAUUUAGCUCAUCUACUGCCUGAUAUAAACAAAAGUAAUUUCUAGCAGGCUGGGUGACACUUGUUUUAUAAUGGAUCUUAAAAUUUCUCACAUUUUCUCAAAGCAAUUUUGAAGUUGUCAUAGUAACAGCAUGAUGUUUGGACAGUCUUUAUAAGUAGUUCUUUAGCUAGAGUUAAUUCAUUUUGUUAACUCUGGAUGUUUUUCUUUUUACUCCUCUUUGACAAACAAGGGCCGUAAUUGCUCAAAUAUGUAUUUCGUGUAAUUUAAUGGUGACUGUAGUUCAAAGACUCAGUGUUUUGUAAGUUGUUUCAGGAAAGGAACAAGAAUGUUACCAAUUGACUUCAGAUAGGUUUAACUUGGGUUUUUAUGCUUCUCUGUAAAAUUGAACUACCACUGCAGGACCAGAAUUUAAUUUUAUUUAAAGAGGUGAGUUAUGGGAGAUAUUCCCAGAAAUUUAAUUGUGACUUGCCUCCAGGGGUUACAACGAUCUUUACUUUGAUUCUGGUGUAUCUAGAAUAAGGUUUGAGGAACAUUGAAGGGAAAUGUGUCAAACUUAUAGGAGAAAAUGAUUUCUUUAAAAAUGCAACACUUGGAUACAACACCAAAAGCAUGUUUCACAAAAGAAAAAAAAUGGAUAAAUCUCUCUUUAUCAAAAUUAAAAAUGCGAUAAUACUCUUUCUAAAAGUCUAAAACAUGCUAAAAUAAAUUAUCCCCUAGGAUAGCUUCUGGGCAUUUUUUAUUGGGAUGUAGAUCAGGAUCUUCUAUUAGUAAAGCUCUGUGGCAGAAACUCUUGCCAGAAUGGCAGUCUGUGAGAAAGGAAACCCUUCUCUUGGGCAGGGAGAGGGUCAGAAGAAAGAAUGGUCUGUACUAGGUCUGGAUGUGGGACUUGAAAAAGUAUCAGAUGUUUGAUGCUUUUAUUUUCUUGUAGAAGUGAUCAUAUAUGAGAUGUGACAUUUACAGAAGGUAUUGUGAGUCCAGUGGGUUUAAAGCUAAGGCCAGUAUCCUUACAGUUCUGUGGAGUAUUUGUUCAGCCAGAGGCGAUGGAAUAUGUCAGGGUAGCAGCAUGUGCAGCCAGCAGCAGUGAGGUGCACAUGCAGUGAUGUCAGGAGUUACGAGACAGCGGUUUCAAAACACUGCAGUAAACAAGGUCAAAGUGUCCCGUUUUGCUGGAAGAAGGCUUGUUUUUAUGAGCGGGACAGUACAUAGAUGAAGUAAUGUUCAAAACAAACAUCAAAUUUAUACGGGUGGUGGUUGUUUUUACUUUUUGGAUUUUAAAGAAUUAACCAGAUGAGAUUUAGUAAGGGCUACAUUUUUAAGUAGAAUUAUACUUUUUCUCUGUUUUUUAUUGAUUUUCUGUAGUUUUCACAGGAGAAAUGAAAAUUUAGGAUUCUUAAAUGCAGUUUUAGAAAGCUGUGACCCAGUACACAGCAGAUGCCAGAGACAAUCACUAGUAAAAUAUUCUUUGUAAUUCUGUACCUUUUACUUUUAUUUAGAUAGGCAUUUAAGUACCAGAAAAGUACAUGGCGCAGAGUACUGCUGACUGUGGGUUCUCAUUUUAAUGCAUUUUCCAACCUUGAACCUGAGAAUGCCAGAGGCUCGAGACUCUGGACGCUCAUCUGAGUGGCAGUCUGCUGGUGGCCUGGCUCCUGAGGUAACGUGUGUGUCCCGAGCGUGCGUGUGUGCUAACAGCAGCAGCGGUGCCACGUGGCACCCAGAGGUCACUGCAGUUCUGGCCUGGGGGUUCCUGAUGCUCGGCUUCUGAGGUGAACUGUGAACCUGGGGCGUCUUGAGAAGUGCAAGCACUUUGUGGAGUUCCACAGCAAACCUGGAUGCAAGCACAGACACAGCUUUUUCAAAGCGAAAGUAGGGGCCUCGAGGAAGGAAUUACCCUCAUCUCACCCCCAACCUGCUUACUGUGCUGGAAAACAAAUGUUUAUACAAGGACAACACAGACACGAAUCCUGCCCUCGUGGAACUUGGAGGCCAGUGGAAGGAGCAGGCCGCAUGAUUCUCCCACGAACGGCAGGUUACAUGCUGCAAGGGAAAAGCAUACACAGGAGAGGAUCUCAGUGAGCCUGCUGCGGCAACUCUGUAUGCGCAGCCAGAAACUGAGGCCAAUGACAGAGCUCUUCUGCUGUUACCUCUUAGAGGAUAGAUUUCUAAGCAUUUGGUUUUUAAAGGCUAUCUAGUAUAGAAGCACUCUUGAAGAUUAGUAUUAUAAGUUCAUUUUCAUGUAGGCAAAGAAUAGAUAGAAAGUUUUUCCUAACCAGUGCAAAUGAUGGUCUGUGAAAACUAAUUUCCCACAUGUGCCUUUUAGGAUUGGAUGAAAACUGUUGGUUGAAUUGUGAUAAACCGGAGAAGAAAACUUUAAUUUUUUUACAAAUACAGUUGGAGUAAGAUAUAUAUAUUGUCUACCAUUUUCAGAAGAGGAAUUGGUAAAGGGAGAGCUAAUUUCUGUGGUAUUAAUAGCUGUGUGCUCCUAAAGAAAACUCGUGGAAAAUCCCCAUCAGUGUUCUUAGACUGAAAAUGGGUCAGGUCUGCUGCUUAUACGAGACUCAGCGGGCAGAGCCUGUGGAGGCAAGGAGGGCCUCCGUCCCUGCUGAGGACGGCCACCCAGAUGGCAAGUCGGCUAAGCAUGGGCUUAACUUCUGAACAUGGGUACCUCUGCAUGUGUGCUGGGCCCUGCAUGGCACCGCACACUUCCUGUUUCCUGUCACUUGAAUAGAAGGCUACGAAACACAGGCUUUUCCCAAUCCUCACCCCUAAAGCAAACAAAAACUAUGCCUCCAGUUCAGGUAACUUGUCCCGUGUCUAAAUCAGCAGGAUCUGUCUUGGAGUUCCCUGGGCACAAACCUUGUCUCUUCUUUGGUCCUGAUGACUAAAAGCAGCUAGGAUUUUUUAAUUGACUAAUAUUUAAGUAUUUCCAAACAGAGGAGAAAAUUAGAUCAGAAAUCUAGUAAGGCUGAAAAUUAUCUUUAAAACUACCUUUUCUCACUAGAAGUAGAACACUAGGUUAUUGAAAGCUUGUUCACGUUUGUGAUUGAUCCUGUGUUUAAGUAGUUUUAAAAUAAGUAACUCAUUUUACUGCUAACAGCUCACUUCACUGUCUGUAUUAUUACCACCAUCAUUUCUGUGAGGUUCUAGGUCUUUUGUGAACAAAUUAAAUACAGUGCUUUCUUUAUGACAUGAAUUAAAUCUAGAUCCCAAUGAUAUUUGGCACCUUCUAAAUACCCAGAUGGGCACAGCGUUUGCCUUGAAGCGAAGACGUGCACAGGGUUUUAAUCACAUCAUGUUUUAUUUUUUCUCUUUUAAAUAUCGCCUUUUCAACAGUUGCUUCUUAAUGAAUGACUGAUUGUUUACUAAGGUUUAUAACCAAGUAUUUUAUUUUAAAAAAUUCUAAUCAAGAUUCAGAUGGAAAAAAUUUUCCUCCUCAUUCCCUCAUCCCUUACAUUAGAAUAAAAGUAAAUUGUCUUUCUUUUGGAAACUGAAUAGUUUGAGAAGUCCCAUCAUUCUCUUCUUGAAAACUUAAUUUUAAUAAAUCAGUUCAGAGGAAAUUUAACUACAGUUGUUAAAACAAAAAAGAUCUUAUAAAAUAAAAACAAGGUAGGCCUAAGUAAGUUUCACCUCUUGAGUAUGACUGCCAUGUGAAAGAAAAUAUAGUUAAAAAAUAAAUUUUGCUGUGUCUUCCCCGUGGCUUCAUCACUUGGACAUACUUGACUUUUUUUAAACAGCAGGAACGAGACACAGAGUUGGGUAAAAACAACUGGUGUCCAAAGACCAGAUUCCAAAACAGGCCUCAGAUACCUGGAGACACAAGGGGUGUAUUCUGUUGCAGGGGUCUUAAAUGACAGUUUUGUAUCCAAAUUUUACCCUAUUUUAUCUUUGAAAGUAAUAACAGUUUCUCAAUAGCAGAUUAGUCUCUUGAUACAAGAUUGACCCAACGACCCCCAAGAAGUUAUGCUUUGGGAGUGCUCAUUUAAUUAAGAGAAACAGAGCUGAUAAAAGAGACCAGGUAACUCAGAAGUGCUCUUUCUGUUGAACGUUUCCAAAAGAAGCACGUGAAGUCAUGGAGCAGGUGUUGCCGUUACACACAGACACACACACACACCCUCCUCAAAGGCAACCCUAGUUUCCCAGCUUUAGCUAUCCCAAAGGACCCUCAGCACUGUGGGUUCAGGGUGGGGUCUGGGUUUAGUGAAAGGUUUUAAUGCUCCCGGGGCAGAGAGCUGACCUUAGGGCCAGCAUAUGGCCACAGAAAGCUGUUACCUAUUCCAUGAGAGCAGUGGGAUGAUGCUUCCAGGUCCUGCCUGCCGACUGCCCAAUGAGUCUAUAGUCGGUGUUGCAUUCAUAAUAGAAAUAAAUGCUCUGAUACUCAACGUAGCUAAAUAUAAUUUAUAAUUUUGAUCUAACUUUGAAACAUGAACAAUCAUGCUUUUCACACUGCUUUAAUGACUUACACAGACAAUUUAUUCUAGAUAAUGGUGAGUUAAACCUGCCAGCAUCUGAAUAUUUUUCACGCAUUUGUUCAAAUACCUGCGUUUGGGUGCUAAUGUGCAUGUUUAAUUGCUUGAACCUAAAUUGUAAAACCCCUAAAAGGAUGUUUUUAUCCUAGAGACUGUUGGCCCCCUCUUAUGAGCUCCUUGCAUUUCCCAGGAUUUAUGUGCCAGCCCCUCUUAGAAGAGGUCUGCUUUAAAAUACAGGAAGUUGAGCUCUUCAGGGAAAGUGCAGAUAGCCGAAUCAUCAGCAGGAUCACUACAGGCGUUCCAUGAGAAGUCUAUUCUGUCAGAACCAAGUUUAAUCCAGGAGCUAUUGUUUACCCAGGUUUCUUGACGAUGAUGAUGAGCAUGGUCAGAAGGCUGUUAGUAGCUGCCCAGAGAGACUGCCUUUUUUUAAAGCUCCAAUCAUUCACCUCUGGUCAUGCCUUACUUUCUGCAGCCACAGAAGAGAGCAGAAUGAGAUUAAAAUGGCCCUGCAACAGAGCAGGGUGCUCUUGGCUUGCACUUUGUUGUUUGUUCCUCCAGUGGUUCCUAGCUGUUGUGACGUCAAGGCUGCCAUUCAGGGCAGAAAAAAAGGAAACCUUGCCUUCUCUUUGCAUCAGUAUCCUGGACAAGCUCUUGUUUCCCAGGCAUCCAAAAUGCUCUCUGUCUGGCAGAGCUGUGCAUUCCAUGCCUGGGUGACCUGGUUAAAUGGAGGAAACCAAAUAUUCCCUGCUGAAUGCUCUCCAAACAAGCAUUCCACCCUGAGCUGAAGUAUAGGCUUCACUGCUUCUGAGGGCUGUAAAUGGAACCGUAGCAUUGCUCUACAUUAUCUGCUAGCAUAUUCAGCUUCUGUUUAGAGGCUUAAAAGAGAGAGAAUCAUUAUCAACAGUCUUCAUUAAUAUACACUGCAACAACAUCAUUAUGCUGCCUUUUGGGGUCAGUGCUAUAGAAUUCUUUUUGGAAAACAAGUCCUGUGUUAAAAAUCUUUUGAGUCAUGGAAGUUCACAACUGCCACCUCUUCCUUCCCAUUCCAUUUCUGCCCACCUCAUUCCCCAAUUUCAGAUUUCUGAAUUUUAGAAAGGCUCUAGGAAGUAAUAUAUACUUACCUAUUAAUUUUGCACUCUGCAUUAUUAAGCUUGCAUAUCUUUUGCAGAUAUAUGAAAAAGAAUCUCACUGUAAUAUGUAGGUCACAGACUCUGGAUUUUUCUUACCGAAGAGUAACACCUUUUGUUUAUCAGAGGGAAGGAACUAUUUCAGAGUAUCACAGAACUGCUGUCUCUUCAGGAACAAGCCAAGAUCCUUAUGGCAAACAGCAGUCUUGCAAGGCCAGAAACUCACUGAUAAUGUUCUGGUUGCUUACAGUGAAUGCCUCUGAAUUUACCAAUUAAGACUCAGUCUUCUGAGGGUGUGCCUUCUUGGGUUUCUUCCUGGCGUGAGAGAGAGCAUUAUUUUAUUAGAUUCUUGGAGGUGGACACUAUAGUCAGUAGAAAAAGCACAACCGCCACGUUGUAUUCUAAAGUUGUCUUGGUUAAAUCAAUAUGCAUUAGAGGUUUUAUGUUACAAAUCCCAUUAAAUCUUUCUCAAAAUAGCCCUCCUCUGAACCUUUGAUUGAAGGAUAUUUGUAGAAACCAAAACCAUUUAAUUUUAUACACAGGUGUAUAUACAUGCAGGAAGGAUCUUAACACAGCAGAGCCUUUCUGAAGUGAAUUAUUAUAGGACAAAAUUCUUCCAUAUUACUAACUCUUGUCUUCCAAAAAAAAAAAAAGAUCCUCAGGUAACUUGAUAAAGAUGGAAUAGAUGGAGUGAAUAUUGAAAGGAAAAUUUACACCAAGAAUUUACUGGACUGCAGUCUAGUUUUGCCUGGACAGACUUGCCCAAAGACUAGCCUACUGCCCUAUGAAUGCCAUAUCUACGCCAUUGUAGUUGCCAGGAUGGGAAUAGGGCACAUGGAGCUCUUGAGCAUGGCUUCUUCGUGGGUGCUUUGGACCAUGUGAUGCUGAGAAUCUUGAAAUGAGAGGAAGAACUGGGACAUUACUUUCCAUUUGUAAACUGGAGAAUUAGUCUUUUUUGUUGUUGGCUACUAUUUACAUAACAGUCAUCCUUUUAUUUAUUUUUCCUAUUAAUAUCAUUUCAGUAGGUCCUUAUUAUCUGUAGAUAACUGGUACCAGAAAACUGCUACUUUAAGAGAAUCAAAUUAAAACUGAAUCAAACAUUUAAAACAAACAUGAGGAUUAAUUCUUGAAAAAGUUUUAAAAAAAGUUAAAUCUAAGCUUGUUUUACAUUACAUAACAGAAAUUUGGGACAUGAUACAACAAUAUAUUAUUUCUUAGAACAAAGAUGGAAUGUCAGCCUUUGUGGCAGAAUCACGAAGAGAGCGAUUUUGGUUGAUACAGGCAUUCAAAUUUUCCCAAGAGCUACUCUUAAUCUUUGUAUGUAGACUCUCAUGAAGUCAUCUGCUGGCUGCUGCUUCCUCAAUCGUUAAAUAUUCAAAUUCUCUUUGAUCCUUAUUUGUCAAUGACUGUGGGUAACUUAAGCAAUUCUCUAGUGUCACUUUCAUCAACUUUAUGUAAAACCUGCAAGUUCAUGUUACAAGUGGACUAUAUUGUAUGUGCAUUUUUAUUCCAUGAUACUGACCAAGAAAGUGAGCAGGAACAGAUGCUGAUGUUAAUGAGGAUGAAACAAACGUUAAGUGAUCACUUUAUCGUCAGUAUUUUUAUAUUACGAUGACCUGUGUGUCCUUACCUGUACUGGUAACUGAAGGACUCAGAGAAUGAUUAUACAAGUAAUUAGAACUCCCCCCACCCCAUAUUGUGUUACAUUUAAGGCAAUCAAUAUGGUUUAGUGGGCUUUAUCAUAAACCACAUAUAGAUUUGUAUGUCAUUCCUUGGCACUUAACUAAGUUAUAUAACCUUGAGUAAGUUACUCAAAGAACUUCAGACUUCAUUACUCUGCAGAGGAAUAAAACCAGCCUUGCCAAGUGGUCAUGGGAAUUGCGCCCAUGUGUCUAAAACUCCUGGAUAAUACGUAGUGCCGCUCAGGAAAUGAUGAUUGCAUUUCUGUGGUACCUUAGACUUUUUUUUAUUAUUAUUAAGAUAUCAUUGAUAUACAAUCCUGUGAAGGUUUCACAUGAGCAACAUUGUGAUCACUACAUUCACCCAUAUUAUCGAGUCCCCCCGACACACCCCACCACAGUCACAUUGUCCAUCAGCACAGUAAGAUUGUGGUACUUUAGACUUUAUAUGAGACUUUCAUGUUUAAUUCAGGCUGAAGAACUUAAAUUUUAGCAGUCACUAAAUAUUUUUAAGGUAUGCAGUGACCUGAGGAAACUAAAUUUCAGCUUGUUUGGUUGACUGUGUACAUCACGGAUCACAUCACAUAGUUCGAUGGCUACUUUCUUUAUGCUACAGAUGAAAACACUGAGGAAGGAAAUUACCUAACAUUCCCAGGGUCACAUGGUUUCUAUCUGGCAGAGGUGAACCCAGAACCCAGUCUUCACUGUGUUUUCCACAGCAUAGUUGCCAAGUGAGCCAAUUAAAAAGGCCAUCAUACUUGUCUGGCAUGUUACCCGGGAGUGGGAAUGGGAGGAAAAGGACAGAGCCAGGGCUGCCGAGAGCAGGCGCUGGUUCCAUUCGGCUCCAUGAAAAACCAGGUCAAGGAUCCAAACGUGUAAGCCUGGUCGGAUGGCCAUACAGUUAAUUAAACUAAAAUAGGUAGAAUUUGUUGAUUUUGUUGUUCUCUGAAGAGUUUAAAGGGGAUGUCCAGAUAUAAGAUUCAAGGGAGGGGAAGAUACCAGUGCUCAAGAAAUAAAUAUAAGACUACUUCUGAAAAAGGAACCUUGAAAGCACUGUAGGGUAUAUAAAUACAUGCCACCUUAUAUAAUAAGUGUGUGUGUGUGUUUGUGUGUUUGUGUGUUUUAAACUGGACUUUGCGGCAUAUUCCCCAUUCGGGAUGAGUGGUGUUACAGCUUACUGCCCAGUUAUUAUCACAAACUGUUACACCUUCAUCAGAGAGAAGAGCUGUUCCCAUAGAUUCUUUGUGUCUGUGUGUGUUUUGUUGGAUGGAUCCUGCUGUGGCACUGAGAGACAGACUCUGCUGGGCCCUGUUUUGUAAACAAAUCUGUUCACACACACUUUCUUCCAUCGUUGUAUGUGUACACUGGCUCUGCUUUUCCCACCAGACACAAGGAAGCCCUAGAGGUGGAGAAGCCUGUUUUCCUUUAGAAGUAUGCAGGUGUCAAAGAAAAAUGCACAUCUACCUUGUGUAAGUGUUUGAAUCCUCACAGUUUUAACUCUGGGCCAUGAAUUCUGCAAGUACAUGGUAGCCCAGUACACACACAGUGCCCCUGGGAGGCAUCCUGAAAGCUGCCACACAAUUCUGUGUUGAGCUCAGUAAAUAAAGCAAGCUCUUUUUACCCCUAAAGUGCAUUCUGUGGGCCAUAAGCGGGUCUUGUCACCCAAGGUGAUAAAGCAGAACUCUGCUUUUUCCAAUAAGGGGUGAUUCAUCCCUUUCUUAGAUUGGAAUAUGAACCUAUAACAAUAUAUAUCCAUAUAGUCACUUCCUACCUAUGGUUUUUUGAGUGUUUUAUUUAAUAUUCUAGCCAAGUUCAAGUUUUUAUGACAGGAAGUAUGUGAAUGGUUAUGACAGGAGUAAAUAACGUUUGAUUUUAUGAUUACAGUUCAGGAAGUAACUUUUCAUGCCAAAUAAAUCUUUGGGGGGAAAAAAGUGCCGGCUUAUAAAUUUAACGUACGUAAAUUUCCGAGAAUCUUUGUUCUCUUCAGAAGAAAUAAAAUCAGAAUAUGAUCUUAACUUCUUCCUCUUCUUUACUUUUUUUGUCAACAAAUGUCUUUGUUUUAAGAAGAGGCACUUUCAAGGUAUUUUGGUGUGACCCAACAUGAUAUGGAACCAUUAAAAAAAAUUCUAAGUGAAAAUAGUAAGGCCAAACUUUAUGGGAUAAAUAGCAUGAAAGGCUUGAAGACUUUAAAUAGGAAAUUACUUUUUCUUUAAGAGUAAAUGGCCAAAUCAUUAUUCACCACUGAAGCUGAGGCGCCCUCCCCCGCCACCUGCAACAUCCAGUUGCUCUUGUGGCUCUGUUCAGUUAAGUACAUGGGAAAGAUAAUUUGUUUAACGUCAGAGCAUCUGCAUGUAAGCACAUUUAAAGAAAAAAGAAUUGGGUGGAACUUCAGUUACGUUCGUUCUAGGCAACCAGCAGAACUUUAAUAGAGAGGCAUUGUUUUUCCCUGACUUAAAAAAAAAAAUAAUAAUGGAAGAAAAAAAUUUUUUCCUCAUUUUUAUUUUCUUUUAAAUCCUGAGGAACUCGCAGUGAGAAGGAAAUUUAUAACUGACACUCAUCUGAGGACGAAUAUUACACAUGCAUGCAUCACAUGAAUGGAUGCCUGACAGAUUAAAACACCCUAGAAGGCUGUCACAGUCUACAUGGAAAAGCACCAGUGGCCUCAGUGGGGCUGGGCUGCAGCGGUACAGCUGGGAGUUUCAGGAUGGAGGUUCACAUGUUCGCUGUGAGCCUCACUCAACCCACACUGAUGAAAAACAUGGUCUCUAAAUCUCUUCUACCUCUAAAAUUCAGUAUUACAGGUUUUGCAAAGAACCUAGUUCUGCAGAGAAUGUAUUUGCAUAUGGCAUGAUUAAAAAUCUGCCUCAUAGUGUAAUUCUCAAGGCAGUUUUGUAAGUCUUGUUUUACUAACAGACAAAGGAAGGCUCCAUGGCAGAGUGCUCAGGGUCAAGCCCCAGGCUUUCAAUCCUGGCUCUGCUACCUACUGAUUCCAUGACCCUGGAGAAGCCCUUAAACUUCUUGGGGCUCAGUUCCCUACCUGUAGGAUGGUGAUAAUGAUAGAAUUUAGCUUGGAGGGUGUGUUUGGGGCUGUUGGUAGUGGCUAGGCCAGCCCUGAAUGUUGGUUUGCCCUUCUCACUGGGGAUUAAACCAGCUUGGGUGACUGCAGCAGGGCGCAGCGUAGCCAAAGGAAGAGCCGGGUCUCCACUCCAACACAAGGCUGUCCGACUUCCCGAGGGCUGCUGCCCUUGCCGUGUGAGGCCACUCCUCCCCUCAUAAAGUGCCGCUAAAGACUGUGCUCCUUCCCUCUGUCCAAAAGAAACCCUUGAGUAAACAUUAAACAUGAACAGAAUUUGUCGCAGGGUUUUAUUUUGUUGGAGGGAGUGGGCCCAGAGGUCUAGAGAGCAAACACUGAUUCUACAAACUUGGGCUCUCAUCAUGUCCACAGCGAAGCCAAUCACAGCAGGAUCUGGGUAUUCUCUACCAUUUAAUCACAGUCUGGAUACCCUACCUUAGAAAUAAACCCGCAUUACCCACCAGCCCGCAAUUAGCAGGAGUUCCUAAAGGGUGGCAGCUUCUUGGCAGCAGCCACAUCUGUUUGAUUCAUGUUUUCUGUGCUUUUCCCCCAAGCAUGUAUUUCAUGAUCUUUAUUUUAUAUUUUUCUCUACUUUCCCUUUCUCUUUUUAAAAAGCUUGCAAUUUAAAAAGCCAGUACUUAAAGAGGAUCUCUCCUAUGAAGCACAGUCUGAAAUGGGAACAAACUGCACAGAAGCUGGGAGAGCUGAGGCAUGUGUGUGAACUUGACACAGUCGGAGGGGGAAGUUUCCUUUUUAGUAGGUGAAGAAAUUAGAUAUUCUAAUAUUUGAGUAGUUGUCAGGCCCUCUAUAAUCAUUGUUUUGUCUUUCACCAAGUUCAGGAUCAAUAGGAUUUUUUAAAUUGUAAAAAGCUAAAAUUGCUCUCUCUAAAGGGUUUCUGUUCUUUUGACAGAAUGGCAAGCUGUACAGAACAUUCCCUCUUUCCAUUGAGAAGGCUCAUAAGGUAUGGGGAGUGAGGGCAGAGGGGUGACUGUCAUGUCAUGUGGGUUUGAAUUAAACUCAUAAUGCCAGCUUUCAAUCCCACUUUCACUUGUCCUUAAUUCUAAGAUUAUAUUCAUAUCAUGCAAAAGGUUUCCAUACUCUUUUUAAAAUACCAGUUUGGUACAGAGUAUAAAACCAUACCUCAGUAAAAAUUUCCUAGAGUAUAAAGCACAGAUGGUUUUAUUACAUUUACAUUUUUUACACGUAUUCAUUUUUGAGUACUCAAAAAUGAGAAAUAGAGGAGUUGGGGUCUGAGUGGUAGAGUAUUAACCAUGUUAGAAAUUGAGGGUUUAAAGUGCUGUCUAACAAAUAACAUGUAUGCAUUUGAUUGAUUGGUUUUCAUUCUUCCAUUCCCAUUAAGUGGAAGCUUGUAUUUUUCUCCUCCCACCUUCAUGAGCACCCCUCACCAGCAUUCCCACCAGAGACAAGCACAUUAACAGCCUGAAAAUCAAGGACAGGCUGUUUUUUGAGCCAAAUGUUUAUAGACCCUUCAGAAAACGAGCUUUGUCCCCAUUGAUAUUCUUUAAGGUGGGAUGAAAGCCCAGUUACCAGGAAAUUCUGCUCUUCUCUGGUAAAAAUAAUCAGGUUUGGCUAAAGCUAGGAGAAAUACAGGUCAUAUUUCAGCCCUUCAUGGACUGUUUUCAAAGGGUGCUCUCGUGUGAAAGCCACGUGGCCACUCUGUUACUGGGAGAGGGUCUUAAAUUUAAGUGUAUUUCUGCCCCGUCACGGACAAAUCCGAACAAGUCCGUUCUCACAAACCCGGACUAUGGCCCCCAGAAGCUGUGUUUUUGGUGUCUCGGUGCCCAGAAGGAAAGAUGAUUUCCAUAGUUGAAAUUUGGGGACAAAUGAAAAUAGCUCUUUCUCUUUCCUUGAAGGGUUAAUGCUCUAACCAGCUUUCAGAUUGGUUCAUUUGAAUCUUAAGAUUACUUUUCUGGUCACGCGCACUGAAGGUCUAAGCAUUUGUGAAAUGUCUUUUUUCUACUUCUCCCAACACUGUUCUCUUUGGGCUGUGUUAAUUACACGGGUUGAGAAACCAAAUUAAAAUUAGGUGUGGCUGGUAAACAGUGAUCACAUUACAUGCUUUUGGUUUUGCUUGUUGGAGUUAUUUAUCCUCUCUGUGUGGCUUCCCCCUCCCCCUUUUGUUUUUCAAGGGAAAUAUCAUAAGCUCUUUCAGAAAUACUCACAGGAAGUGAGUAUCCAUAUGCUGGUUACUCGCCAGAAACUGAGUGUUGACAGGUGGAGAAUGCUGCUGCACCCUCCCAGAUUUCUUUGAACAUUUCCACCAGAGCAGAGGAUUAAAUUCUGGGUGUGGGGACCAAAGGGUUUUUGUAUACUGAGAGAGUUAUUAGAGGAAAUUGGUCAUCGCGUGUCAUCUUGAGGGAUGGUGAUUCAGGGAGCUGUGAUAGGGGUCAGCAAGGCACGUGGCUGCCAUCGCUGAGGUUUCUGCUUGCUCCUCAGAGGGCUGGCUGCCUUCUAAAAACUAAUGCUCCCUCCACCGCCAGCAAUGAUUCUUUUGCAGUGAAUCACUUCCAGAAAUGAAUAGCCACAGUUUUUUGGAAUGAACGUUGUGAAAUCCCUGGUUUAUAAUGGCAGGUUUUCAGUUGGUGGUUUUAUCAGAGAAAUUUCUCAAGAUCAAAAUGAAACCUCUUCUUUAAAAAGAAAGAAAGUACUCGAUACAGAAAGCAAAAGUAUUUUCAGACUCCUACUGAAGAACUGUCACAGAAGAUCUCUGAACCUUCUAUAUAUAGAGAUACAUGUCCAUAUCUUUGCCUGAAUGUGUGAGUUCUUGGAAUUCUGGAUUCAUUGCCGGUAGCUGGUGAUUUCCUAUGCAGAAGGUUGCUAACUACAAGAAAUGUUAUAUGCGGUGAGUAGGUGGUAGAUUCCUAUGGUUAUUGCUAAACCAGUGUUCGUAGUCUUGAGUCAUGGAUUCAAAGGACUGAUAGCACGCUCUUAAAUACUUCUGCCUUAUAUGAUUUAAUGGAUGGAGCUACAGGAUUCACAGAAGCCUGUGAAGAGUUUUUCAGAACAUGGAUUAAUUUAAAAUCAGUAAUGUUUUGAAUAUACUAGUCAUUUUUAGGAGGAAAGGUUUUUUUACAGAAGGAAGAGAUUUGCGGGGGGGCUUUUAAAGGUAUGAUUACUGCUCUUUUAUGUUAAUUUUAAGUAUCACAUCAUCCUCUUACGUGGAAGAAGUAAAUGACUACAUGGUCUCAACAGAGAAAAACUUAAGCCAACUCUUUAGAUGAGGAAGCUUCAUCCACGUGUUACUCCUAACCAGAUUGUUUUUCCCUCCUAAAUAUUCACAAGGAGAAGCUGCCCCAUGAAGAAGAUGAACCUUCUGGCAGUAGCUGUGAUACGUCUCACUCAUAGAUUUUUAUCCAGGGGGCAAAGAGAGAGGAAUGUGUUACUGGAAAUAAUGAGUGCAGUUUAAGGAAUUGUUCUCUCUUCAGAGUGGAUAAGUUGACCUACUGACUCAUUUCACAGGAAUUGGGAAAACAACCCAGUGUGGUUUCCAUUGUUAGUCCUAGAGGAUUCCAAAAUGUGUGUGUCUGCACAUAAGAUGAGGUGGAGAAAGGUAGUGUUGCCACUUGCUCUUCGUGCUUGCCUCUUCUCCCGAUGGAAUCCAGUCCUGUCCUCCUAGGUCAAGUCCAGCCUGCGCGUGGGGACCCUUCGUGUGACUGUUUGCUGGUGCUGAUCUUCUGAACAAAUGCCUCCUGAAGAUUUUGAUGCCUGGGAAAUACCUGUCAAUAGAUUGCUUUCACACCCCUGUGUAAGUAGAGGCUUGUGCUUGUAAAUCAACCUCAGGGGAGUUUUGUUUUAUUUGUUCCUGGAUGAUACCCCAGUAAAACUUUCUUCAUGUGGUCAUUAGUGUUUGAUCUCUAUUACAGUCCUCUUAAACACUCAUCUCUCAAUUUACUGUUGGAAAAAGUCUAUAACAUGAACUUCUGCCUAAAAGCAAGUGUGGAUCCCAUGUUCAGGUCCUAGAAUGGGAAAAGAAGACAGAAAAUAUUAAAGACAUGCAUUUCUGUUAACUGAGUUGGAGAUGCCAUUUAUAGAUCCAAGGGCAUCUUUUCAGAUUUUAGUAUUCAUCACACACAUCUACAAUUAGGUACCCUGGAGUGGGUCAGCAUAUGGCAGAUGUAUGAACGCAGGGUCUGUGAGCUCCGUUUAUGAGCUGUGCCAGCUCUCUUAGCUGCAUCUCUGCUAAUAAUGUGCUGAAGGAAAAAGGAUUUGUUUUUAUCAUCAUAGCUGUCAUUUAUUGAAUGUUGACACCAUGCUUUACUUAGUUAUUUAGCAAACUUCUUUACCUUAUUUAUCUUAAUUCUCACACCAACCUUCAGUGACAGGGACUGUUAAUCCUGACUUUACAAAUGAGACAGAGGCACCAAGAGUUACAGUAACUCACCCAGGGCUGUGCGGGAGGGCUUGACAUUCUGGCUGCAGGAGUCUGCCUGGGACCAUGUCACUGCACUGCCGCAUAAUAAUGGGGGAGC